UGGGGAAUAUUGCACAAUGGGCGCAAGCCUGAUGCAGCCAUGCCGCGUGUGUGAAGAAGGCCUUCGGGUUGUAAAGCACUUUCAGCGGGGAGGAAGGCGAUAAGGUUAAUAACCUCAUCGAUUGACGUUACCCGCAGAAGAAGCACCGGCUAACUCCGUGCCAGCAGCCGCGGUAAUACGGAGGGUGCAAGCGUUAAUCGGAAUUACUGGGCGUAAAGCGCACGCAGGCGGUCUGUCAAGUCGGAUGUGAAAUCCCCGGGCUCAACCUGGGAACUGCCUUCGAAACUGGCAGGCUAUAGUCAUGUAGAGGGGGGUAGAAUUCCAGGUGUAGCGGUGAAAUGCGUAGAGAUCUGGAGGAAUACCGGUGGCGAAGGCGGCCCCCUGGACAAAGACUGACGCUCAGGUGCGAAAGCGGGGGGAGCAAACAGG
rnacentral:rRNA from 1 species